rnacentral:rRNA from 1 species
AUGACCAGGAUAUGGCCGGCCCACCUGAGCGAGUCGGCUUUGGUGUUUUCUCAUUACUCUGCGCGGGCCUCGGAGGAUUGGAAGAAAGCAAAUUCUGGGGACAACACGACGAAGGAGAAGAAGGAAACACAAAAUAGCAUCAGGGAGUCUCGCUCGUCGGCUCCAGCCCAGCAGAAAAAGGGAACUGAGGUAACCCCUCCAAAAAAGAAUAAUGUUCAGAAAAAGAGGAAGGGAGGUCCACAACAGAAUCAGGUCUAUAGACCAAUGGCAGCCCCUCUGACUAUUACACAGGGUCGGGGGGAGGAUGGUAAUGUGAAUAUGGAGGGGAUGGUCUUUUCAGCUGGUGGUACGGCUGAUGAUCACACAGAUGAGAACCGGGAGAGAGACCCCCAAAAGAACAAACCUACCCCACCUACGUUUGAAUCUUCGGCAGCGGCUGCGAAAAACUACAGUGCCUCUCACAUUGAUGUAAUUGUCAAGCAAGUUAAUAAAGCAUGGCGAUUUACUAGUUUUUAUGGGGAGCCACGGGUGCAUAACAGGCACCACAGCUGGCGUUUUCUGUGUACCUUGUAUGCCAUUCAACAUGAGGCAUGGAUUUGCAUGGGGGAUUUUAAUGAGACCCUAUAUGCUGAUGAGCACUUUGGAACAAAUGCCACACCGGAGGGCCAGAUGAGGGCAUUCCGUGAGGCAGUUGACGAUUGUUCGCUCCAAGAUUUGGGGUGGCGAGGGGUUCCUUUCACAUGGGAUAACAAGCAAGACGGUGCUGCAAAUGUCAAAGCAAGACUUGAUCGGGCUCUUGCGAAUGCAGCCUUUCUGAACUUGUUCGAGUAUACUAGUAUUGGCUCGGCGGAGCGCGGUCUAAAGGGAGUUAUUGACGCGCUCACCGAAGUUCAGAUUCAGCUGGGAUCAUGGGGUGCACGGGAGUCUGGAAACCUAUCGAAGAAACUACGUGAAGCACUCCGCCAAGAGGAGGUGUGGUUGAAACAACGGUCGAGAGUGACUUGGUUGAAAGAGGGGGACCGGAACACAGGAUAUUUCCAAGCUCAGGCCGCCCCUCGUAAGCGAAUUAAUAGGAUUUCCUCACUGGAAAAGGAAGACGGUCAAGUUUGCACCGAACCUCAUGAGGUGAAGGAAGAAAUUGCAAGCUUCUAUCAAUCCUUGUAUCAAUCGCAGGGGUACAGACCCAUGGAGGAACUGCUUGCUUGUGUGACUCCUCGAGUUUCAGAUGAUAUGAAUGAUCUACUUGAAAAAGAAUACUCAGCCGAGGAGGUCAAGAAAGCUCUUUUCGAUAUGGCACCGUCAAAGGCUCCGGGCAUUCAAGAAUUUACGGCCGGAUUUUACCAACGACACUGGGAUGUCUUGGGUAAUGAUAUCUCCCAUGCCGUGUUGGAUUUUUUAAAUGGGGGUGAACUACCAACGGGAUUAAAUGACACUACCAUCACCUUAAUUCCCAAGGUACGAAACCCGUAG